CAAAGGUUUGGUCCUAGCCUUGUAAUCAGUCUUUACUCAACUUACACAUGCAAGUCUCCGCACCCCUGUGAAAACGCCCUCUAANCCCCUUAAGGGACGAGGAGCCGGUAUCAGGCUCAAUCAUUAGCCCAAAACACCUAGCUUUGCCACACCCACAAGGGAAUUCAGCAGUGAUUAACAUUGAUAAUAAGCGCAAGCUUGACUCAGUCAGAGUAAUUAGAGCCGGCAAAUCUGGUGCCAGCCGCCGCGGCUAUACCACGANGGCCCAAACUGAUCCCCUUCGGCGUAAAGCGUGAUUAAAGUGACCCCAGACUGUAGAUAAACUAGUAUUUAGCUGUGNAUACGCUGGUNUUCUAGGAAAAACAAAAACGAAAGUUGCUACAGCAGAACCCGCUUGACCUCACGACAGCUAAGACACAAACUGGGAUUAGAUACCCCACUAUGCUUAGCCGUAAACCUUAACUUACACCCAAAUCGCCAGGGAACUACGAGCAACGCUUAAAACCCAAAGGACUUGACGGUGCCCCACAUCCACCUAGAGGAGCCUGUCCUAUAAUCGAUAACCCCCGUUCUACCUCACCACUUUUUGNCCUAUCAGCCUGUAUACCUCCGUCGUCAGCUUACCACGUGAGCGCCCUCCAGUAAGCGUAAAAGCCCCNCCGCUAAAACGU
rnacentral:rRNA from 1 species